rnacentral:rRNA from 1 species
AGAGUUUGAUCAUGGCUCAGGAUGAACGCUAGCGGCAGGCUUAAUACAUGCAAGUCGAGGGGCAGCGCAGUGUAGCAAUACAUGGGCGGCGACCGGCAAACGGGUGCGGAACACGUACGCAAUCUACCCGAAACUGAUGAAUAGCCCUCCGAAAGGAGGAUUAAUACAUCGUAACAUCUUAGAGUGGCAUCACUUUGGGAUUAUAGCUCCGGCGGUUUUGGAUGAGCGUGCGCCUGAUUAGGUAGUUGGUGUGGGUAACGGCCCACCAAGCCUUCGAUCAGUAACUGGUGUGAGAGCACGACCAGUCACACGGGCACUGAGACACGGGCCCGACUCCUACGGGAGGCAGCAGUAAGGAAUAUUGGUCAAUGGACGCAAGUCUGAACCAGCCAUGCCGCGUGAAGGAUGAAGGUCCUCUGGAUUGUAAACUUCUUUUAUAGGGGAAGAAACCCGGAAAUUCUUUUCCGGUUGACGGUACCC